GCCGCGCGCCACUCCCGUCCGUUCCUCCGGCUCUCCUCAGAGAGGCUUCAUCGGAGAGUCUUCUCCGCCGCUUCCUCCGGACUGAAGGGGAGGCAGAGCCGGGAGGAAAGGGGCAUCGCGCUCCGAGAGGAGAACUUCGGUUAUUUGCCAGGUAACUGAAGACUCUCUAUCAAAGCACCUAUAGUUGUAACAUAUUCCCAGAAGGGUGCCCACUAGGCACAAAGAACUACAAAGAAAGUUGAUCCGAAGACCCCUGGUGUGGCAAGAAUGACUUCAAGUUGUAUGAUUCCAGUGUUUGCUUUGAUGAUUGGGUGUUUAGCCUCUGCAGAGCUUGCCUGCAGAUUUGGUCCCCUGUGGCUUUGAUGCAGCAGAGGAUGAAUAAGAAUGCUCACUGAGCCAACAUGGAAAUUGGGCAUUUCGUUAAAUCUGACACUAGAUUGUGCUAGAUGAAUUCUCAAAAGCAUGAUACU